CACCUGGGGAGUACGGCCGCAAGGUUAAAACUCAAAUGAAUUGACGGGGGCCCGCACAAGCGGUGGAGCAUGUGGUUUAAUUCGACGCAACGCGAAGAACCUUACCUGGCCUUGACAUGCAGAGAACUUUCCAGAGAUGGAUUGGUGCCUUCGGGAACUCUGACACAGGUGCUGCAUGGCCGUCGUCAGCUCGUGUCGUGAGAUGUUGGGUUAAGUCCCGUAACGAGCGCAACCCCUAUCCCUAGUUGCUAGCAGUUCGGCUGAGAACUCUAGGGAGACUGCCGGUGACAAACCGGAGGAAGGUGGGGAUGACGUCAGGUCAUCAUGGCCCUUACGGCCAGGGCUACACACGUGCUACAAUGGUGCGCACAGAGGGCUGCAAACCCGCGAGGGGGAGCCAAUCUCACAAAACGCAUCGUAGUCCGGAUCGCAGUCUGCAACUCGACUGCGUGAAGUCGGAAUCGCUAGUAAUCGUGAAUCAGAAUGUCACGGUGAAUACGUUCCCGGGCCUUGUACACACCGCCCGUCACACCAUUGGAGUGGAUUGCACCAGAAGUGGUUAGUCUAACCUUCGGGAGGACGAUCACCACGGUGUGGUUCAUGACUGGGGUGAAGUCGUAACAAGGUAACCGUA
rnacentral:rRNA from 1 species